GGUCUGAUAGUGUAGUUGGUUAUCACAUUGGUUUCUGAUCUGAAAGAAAGGAAAAUACCAAUGACCGGAGUUCGAAUCUCCGUCGGACCU
rnacentral:tRNA from 1 species